AAUCAACGCUGGCGGCGUGCCUCAGACAUGCAAGUCGAACGAGAAAGUCCCCGCAAGGGGAUGAGUAAAGUGGCGCACGGGUGAGUAACACGUAGGUAAUCUACCUUCGGGUGGGGAAUAACCCAGGGAAACUUGGGCUAACACCGCAUAAUGCAGCGGCACCACAUGGUGACAGUUGUUAAAGCGGGGGAUUUUAGGACCUCGCGCCUGAAGAGGAGCCUGCGGCGGAUUAGCUAGUUGGAGGGUAACGGCUUACCAAGGCGACGAUCCGUAACCGGCCUGAGAGGGCGGUCGGUCACACUGACACUGACAUACGGGUCAGACUCCUACGGGAGGCAGCAGGUCGGGAAUUUUGGGCAAUGGGCGAAAGCCUGACCCAGCAACGCCGCGUGAAGGAUGAAA
rnacentral:rRNA from 1 species